AUAGGCAUGAAAGCAGCACCUCUUCAAACAUAGUCAUUUCAUAAAACACCUGGUGCGCACAAAUUCCUAACCUAGCAGACCUUGCAUCUAAUCUAACAUCAAAACAACUACUAAAUCCAUAGAGACUUGACUUCCAUUCUUCUGUGUGCAUCAUUUAACAGCCAAUUACUACAGCCAAUAACAACAGACCGAAUUCCGUUAAGGCAGAAGAUAUGAAAGCACCACCUCUUCAAACACAAGGACCCCCAGAGACAUUUCAUCAAACACCUGGUGUACAACACACAAAUUCCCAACCUAGCAAAACCCUACGGUUAACAUCAAAGCCAUUUCAGCAUUCACACAAAAUAACACCAUCCACUGCACUUC
rnacentral:lncRNA from 1 species